UCAAUGUGGACAUCCGGUAAGGUUGCUCUUGCAUGGCUCUGUCCAAGUGGCUUAUAGGAGCGUAGGACUACAGUGCCGUGCCACAACAUUGACAGCAAGCCUGUUCCCAGCCUUUGGGCUGGUAGGGAUGGCAUCCUGCAUAUUCCUGCCUUCCCAGAGCCUCUGGGCCAUGACUGGGGAGGCAAACCAUGUAGUGCACAAUU
rnacentral:snoRNA from 1 species